rnacentral:rRNA from 1 species
GACGAACGCUGGCGGCGUGCCUAAUACAUGCAAGUUGAGCGCUGAAGGUUGGUACUUGUACCAACUGGAUGAGCAGCGAACGGGUGAGUAACGCGUGGGGAAUCUGCCUUUGAGCGGGGGACAACAUUUGGAAACGAAUGCUAAUACCGCAUAAAAACUUUAAACACAAGCUUUAAGUUUGAAAGAUGCAAUUGCAUCACUCAAAGAUGAUCCCGCGUUGUAUUAGCUAGUUGGUGAGGUAAAGGCUCACCAAGGCGAUGAUACAUAGCCGACCUGAGAGGGUGCUCGGCCACGUUGGGACUGCGACACGGCCCAAACUCCUACGGGAGGCAGCAGUAGUGCAUCUUCGGCAAUGGACGAAAGUCUGACCGAGCAACGCCGCGUGAGUGAAGAAGGUUUUCGGAUCGUAAAACUCUGUUGGUAGAGAAGAACGUUGGUGAGAGUGGAAAGCUCAUCAAGUGACGGUAACUACCCAGAAAGGGACGGCUAACUACGUG